rnacentral:lncRNA from 1 species
UUUACCAUCACUCUGAGCGUUUUGUCACUUGGUUACUUCUGCAGGGUGUAAUGCCAAACUGCUUUAGGAAUCCCCAGGCUGACUCUGAGGAGGCUUGCACCUAUACAGUUUACUCAGUGAGCUCAAAGUCUCUGCAGCACCCUGUCUUGUGGGAGAGGUGCAAGCAUGCUAUGUCCCACGCUCAUUGUGCUUCCCCUGGGUGGUAUAAAAUAUAAGCAAAUGUUGCAUGGCAGUCGGACAAUGAACAUCAGUGAACAUGUAGAAUUUCACUAAACUAGCAGUGAUUCAUAUGGUCUUCC